rnacentral:rRNA from 1 species
UACGUAGGUGGCAAGCGUUAUCCGGAAUUAUUGGGCGUAAAGCGCGCGCAGGCGGUUUCUUAAGUCUGAUGUGAAAGCCCACGGCUCAACCGUGGAGGGUCAUUGGAAACUGGGGGACUUGAGUGCAGGAGAGAAGAGUGGAAUUCCACGUGUAGCGGCGAAAUGCGUAGAGAUGUGGAGGAACACCAGUGGCGAAGGCGACUCUUUGGCCUGUAACUGACGCUGAGGCGCGAAAGCGUGGGGAGCAAACAGG